rnacentral:rRNA from 1 species
CAGCCGCCACGGGAAUACAGAGGGUGCAAGCGUUAAUCGGAAUUACUGGGCGUAAAGCGCGCGUAGGUGGUUUGUUAAGUUGGAUGUGAAAGCCCCGGGCUCAACCUGGGAACUGCAUCCAAAACUGGCAAGCUAGAGUACGGUAGAGGGUGGUGGAAUUUCCUGUGUAGCGGUGAAAUGCGUAGAUAUAGGAAGGAACACCAGUGGCGAAGGCGACCACCUGGACUGAUACUGACACUGAGGUGCGAAAGCGUGGGGAGCAAACAGGAUUAGAUACCCCCGUAGUCCCUGUCUCUUAUAC